GGUCACAGAACAUGCUUGGCCAAUACCAAACAGUGGCCGACACCCUGGCAAAUAGUUCUUCUGUAUUCUUGUUGCAUAGCAACAAUAGACUCUGAAAGCAGCUCACACAGCAGGAACCAGUAAGAAGUUAUUGGGAGGGGAAAAGACAUUCCCUAUCCGGAACAGACUGUCCAAGAUGGGCUCCACCUCCAGCAUCCUGCAGACAGCUAUUCUGCAAGAUUCAAGUUCCUAGUUGUCUUCAGAAAACCCCCUCUAAGGUCAAGGCCCCCUCCCCUACUGAUCUCUUGAACCGUGACCCCACUGCACCUAGGAGAGCCAGCAAAUAUGUCCACUUCAUACUGAAUAAGUCAAGGCUGAGGUCAUCAGCUAACAGCAGCUGGAGAACAGGAGCGUCUGCCUAGGAAAGAGUCCCCGGUGAGAGUUCACACAGGAGGCCUGGGAUCCUGUGUGAGGUACCCAUCCACCAUCCACCUGCCUGCAAGGCUAUGAGCUCUGUUAGUCCACCACAGUGCCUAGGGCUAGACAUGAUACCCGAAGAGUGAGUAUUCAAUGAAUGAGUAAAGCUUAGAAACUCAAAGACACUCUAGAUGUGGCCCUGAAAAACUGCAUACAAACUCCCCAGGAAACACCCCUUCACUGGAGAGGAAAUGAUCACCCUCCACUCUCUGAACCAACUCCAUCAGUAAGUCAGGUGCACCCUGGGAAAGAAAGCCAGCAGCUCUACAAGAUGUCCUCUUCCUGGGAGGAAAGAACCAAAGACUGAUCGGGAUAUGAAGGAGGUCAAGGUUAACCCCAGCUGAAAGGAGGAAGUUUCCCAAAGAUGAGGAAUGAAUGAAUCAGGUUGUGGCUGAAGGAGUGAAAGCCAGGUGAGGUGGUAAAGAGAGAAGAAAGGCAAGUUAGACUGCAGCCGCCCCUCCAUUGCUUUGGGUCACUUGCCCCUUGAGGCCUGCUCUCCUUUCUGUAGAAUGAGGAUGAUACCUGCCUCUCAAGCCUGCCUCUGGAGGAGCAAAUGGAGAAAACCAAUAGCCUCAGGGAUCCUUGCUCCCAGCAGGGAUGAACAAAUGCCAGCCUGACAAGACCAAGGAGGCAGGCUGCACAGGACUGUGAGGAGCUGAGUAGUGAGUGCCUUAAACUUGAAAGGAAAAAUCAAGGAAGUUCAGCAGGAUGCUGGGGCCAGACAGCAAUUCCCAGCCCAUUAAACAGGGGGGGGGGGGUUGUGCAGAGGGUGUUGGCACCUCUGGACCCACUCACAACUAGGACCUGUGACAAGCUGAGCUGAUGCCACACACACCCAAGUCAACGAAAGACAGCUGUUCCUGACCAUUUCCUACCCCUCUGUAAAAUCAAGAUGCCAGCCAACCAGACCUGUGUCUUCCGUAGCUGGAAUUCAAACCCAGUCAGACUCUUAUGAAGACUGAGAGUGGAGUAAAUGGUUGAGCACAGCAGUGUGGAGCACCACAGCCUGGAGGGGACAGCAGGAAUCAGACAGCCUGGGACUAGACCCAGAUCUGCCCCUCAGAGGGACCCAAGCCAUAUCUGUGCUGCCACAGACGCACCUGCCACGAGCUAGUCCCUCUCCCAUGUGUUCUACAGACUUCUCCCUCCCAGGCAGCCCUCUAAACAGAAAUGGCCUUCACUCAACAGAAGAGAAAGACUGAGGCCCGGAGUUCAACGAACUUGGCAAAGCUGGCAACUGCAAGCAAGCUGGACUAAGGUGCUGAGCUGGCGGUAAGAGGUGUCUCCAACUACAAAACACUGGCUUUCACUCCAAAAGAGGUCCUUCGGCUGACGCGAUCAAACCUCAAAGUUGCUGGUUCGGCUAAUGGGGAAUGAAAGGGAAGAUCGGCACAUCCCUUAACAAACUCUAAUGUCUGGUUAAUUAUCUGUUAACAUGAAACCUAUAAAUAACAAGUUGGUAA